rnacentral:snRNA from 1 species
ACUCAUACCUGGCAGGGGAGAUACCAUGAUCAUAAAAGUGUUUUUCCCAGGGUGAGACUCAUCCAUUGCACUUUAGAUGUGCUGAUCCCUGUGAUUUCCACAAAUGUGGGAAAAUCAACUGCCUAAUUUGUGGUAGUGGGGGACUGCGUUUGUCAUUUCCCCU